rnacentral:rRNA from 1 species
CCUACGGGGGGCAGCAGUGGGGAAUUUUGGACAAUGGGCGCAAGCCUGAUCCAGCCAUUCCGCGUGAGUGAAGAAGGCCUUCGGGUUGUAAAGCUCUUUCGCAAGGGAAGAAAACUUAUCCUCUAACAUAGGAUGAGGUUGACGGUACCUUGAUAAGAAGCACCGGCUAACUACGUGCCAGCAGCCGCGGUAAUACGUAGGGUGAGAGCGUUAAGCGGAGUUUGCGCGCGUAAUUCUGUAGGUCGGAGGUGAAAUCCCCGAGCUCAACUUGGGAACUGCGUUUGAAACUACAAGACUAGAAUAGGUCAGAGGGGGGUAGAAUUCCACGUGUAGCAGUGAAAUGCGUAGAGAUGUGGAGGAAUAUCAAUGGCGAAGGCAGCCCCCUGGGAUCAUAUUGACGCUCAUGCACGAAAGCGUGGGGAGCAAACAGGAUUAGAUACCCGGGUAGUC